UACGAAGGGGGCUAGCGUUGCUCGGAAUCACUGGGCGUAAAGGGUGCGUAGGCGGGUCUUUAAGUCAGGGGUGAAAUCCUGGAGCUCAACUCCAGAACUGCCUUUGAUACUGAAGAUCUUGAGUUCGGGAGAGGUGAGUGGAACUGCGAGUGUAGAGGUGAAAUUCGUAGAUAUUCGCAAGAACACCAGUGGCGAAGGCGGCUCACUGGCUCGUAUCUGACGCUCAGGCGCGAUAGCGUGGGGAUCAAACAGG
rnacentral:rRNA from 1 species